rfam:Sphaerobolus stellatus SS14 unplaced genomic scaffold SPHSTscaffold_104, whole genome shotgun sequence.
GUCUGGGUAGCUCAGCUGGAAGAGCGUCAGACUGUAAUGGAUACCGCCAGCUGAAUGUUGCUGGUUCGAUCCCGGCUCUGGAGA